AAAGCUCGUAGUUGGAUUUCUGAUAUUUCGUUUUGCCUAUCUUGGUCACCAAGUGUGGCUGUUAGGUUUUAAAGCGAGUGUCAUCCUCGCCUAUUUAAAUUUGAUAUGUGCAUUCCUGACGGUUUGUUUUCGUGUCAAAUGGGCGUCAUUUACUGUGAAAAAAUUAGAGUGUUCAAAGCAAGUUUAUUUUAAUCUUGAAUACAUUAGCAUGGAAUAAUAAGAUAGGACUUUGGUACUAUUUUGUUGGUUUGCAUACCUUAGUAAUGAUUAACAGGAACAUAUUGGGGAUAUCUGUAUUUUUUAGUCAGAGGUGAAAUUCUUGGAUUUAAGAAAGACAAACUACAGCGAAAGCAUUUAUCAAGGAUGUUUUCAUUGAUCAAGAACGAAAGUUGGGGGAUCGAAGAUGAUUAGAUACCAUCGUAGUCUCAACUAUAAACUAUGCCGACUUGGGAUUGGAGGAUGUGAAUUUUUUAUAACACCUUCAGCACCACAUGAGAAAUCAAAGUCUUUGGGUUCCGGGGGGAGUAUGGUCGCAAGGCUGAAACUUAAAGGAAUUGACGGAAGGGCACACAAGUAGUGGAGCCUGCGGCUUAAUUUGACUCAACACGGGAAAACUUACCAGGUCCAGACAUAGUAAGGAUUGACAGAUU
rnacentral:rRNA from 1 species